CGUUUGUUUCAGCCAUAUUUGAAUUCCUAUUUACGAAUCAUCUUAACCCUAGCCGACUAUCACCUCAAAAUCACUCAAACCUUACACUCAUAAUCUUCCUCUCAUUCUCUACAAAUUUCAUCGUGGUGAGGUUGUUUUUAUUCUCCAUCCGUCCAAAUCAGUCUUUGGAAUCCGGCAAGACGUAACAGUUCUUCGUUGUUAAUCGACCCGUCUACUGUUCGUGCUUCAGAGGCAAACCAGGAUUAGUUGCUUGCCGGUUAUCACGUGGAUUAGCAAGCAGGUUAUGAUCUGAGAGAGUCUGGUGAUCUCCGCAUUUACUUUUCCUCGGAGGUUCCAUUUAUUUUAGUAGAACUGUGAAACUGUUUUAUUCUUAGACCGCAGUAGUAACUAGACGUCUUUAUUAUUAUUAUAUUUUUGUCGGAUUGGUUCGACUGGUUUUAUUGCUUUGGCAUGUUAUAUCAUUUAAUUUGGGUUAUGAUAAAUCUAUUUCAGACUCGGAAUUGGAUAAGCAUGUUAUAUUAACUGUUGA